rnacentral:rRNA from 1 species
UACGUAGGGGGCAAGCGUUGUCCGGAAUCAUUGGGCGUAAAGAGCGCGUAGGCGGCCCAGUAAGUCCGCUCUGAAAGUCAGGGGCUCAACCCCUGAAUGCGGGUGGAUACUGCUGGGCUAGAGUCCGGAAGAGGCGAGUGGAAUUCCUGGUGUAGCGGUGAAAUGCGCAGAUAUCAGGAAGAACACCCGUGGCGAAGGCGGCUCUCUGGGACGGUACUGACGCUGAGACGCGAAAGCGUGGGGAGCGAACAGG